rnacentral:rRNA from 1 species
UACAGAGGUCCCAAGCGUUGUUCGGAUUCACUGGGCGUAAAGGGUGCGUAGGUGGCAGGGUAAGUUUGAUGUGAAAUCUCCGGGCUUAACCCGGAAACUGCAUUGAAUACUAUCCUGCUCGAGGUUUGGAGGGGGGACUGGAAUUCUCGGCGUAGCAGUGAAAUGCGUAGAUAUCGAGAGGAACACCAGUGGCGAAGGCGAGUCCCUGGACAACACCUGACACUGAGGCACGAAAGCUAGGGGAGCAAACAGG